AUUGAACGCUGGCGGCAUGCUUUACACAUGCAAGUCGAACGGUAACAGGCCGCAAGGUGCUGACGAGUGGCGAACGGGUGAGUAAUGCAUCGGAACGUGCCUAGUCGUGGGGGAUAACUACUCGAAAGAGUAGCUAAUACCGCAUACGAUCUAUGGAUGAAAGCGGGGGACCGUAAGGCCUCGCGCGAUUGGAGCGGCCGAUGUCAGAUUAGGUAGUUGGUGGGGUAAAGGCUCACCAAGCCAACGAUCUGUAGCUGGUCUGAGAGGACAACCAGCCACACUGGGACUGAGACACGGCCCAGACUCCUACGGGAGGCAGCAGUGGGGAAUUUUGGACAAUGGGCGCAAGCCUGAUCCAGCAAUGCCGCGUGCAGGAAGAAGGCCUUCGGGUUGUAAACUGCUUUUGUACGGAACGAAACGGCUCUGGUUAAUACCCGGGGCUAAUGACGGUACCGUAAGAAUAAGCACCGGCUAACUACGUG
rnacentral:rRNA from 1 species